AUCAAUUUCAGUUAUUGUUAGUG
rnacentral:siRNA from 1 species